UCCCAGACUCCUACGGAGGCAGCAGUGAGGAAUAUUGGUCAAUGGGCUUACGCCUGAACCAGCCAAGUCGCGUGAGGGAAGACGGUCCUAUGGAUUGUAAACCUCUUUAGGCGGGGAGCAAUGCCGGGCACGCGUGCCCGGAGGGAGAGUACCCGCAGAAUAAGCAUCGGCUAACUCCGUGCCAGCAGCCGCGGUAAUACGGGGGAUGUAAGCGUUAUCCGGAUUUAUUGGGUUUAAAGGGUGCGUAGGCUGUGAGGUAAGUCAGCGGUGAAAUGCCCCCGCUCAACGGGGUGAAGUGCCAUUGAUACUGCCUUGCUGGAAUGCGGAUGCCGUGGGAGGAAUGUGUGGUGUAGCGGUGAAAUGCAUAGAUAUCACACAGAGCACCGAUUGCGAAGGCAUCUCACGAAUCCGCGAUUGACGCUGAUGCACGAAAGCGUGGGUAUCAAACAGGAUUAGAUACCCGAGUA
rnacentral:rRNA from 1 species